AAGUUAAGACUUGAGUUAAAAUGUUGUUUUAACUUGAGUUGAGUUAAAACUCUAGUUAGAACGUUAGGUUUUAACAUUUUAACUCAACAACCUCUAACUAACUAGAGAUCACUGGGUCUUAAAAGACGGAGUCUCUGAGAAUAGUUCUUAAAAAUAUAACCAGUAUUUUCAGCAAAGUUGAGCUGACUGUCCAGAAAGGACACAAGGAAUUUAAAAUUAGCCACAGUUUCAAAAGGUUGGUCAUCAAGUGAAACUGGAAUCACUUUCAGGUUUUGUUUAUGUCAUUUAAUUAGCUCUACUUACUAAAGGAAUGAAAAGGUAUGUUCUUUUGUAAAGGAGUUUAUUUUUAAACUUCCAGUAAUGCCAUAAUUACUAAUAAAGACUUUGUGGUAUUCUGAUUUAGCAAUGUAAUUAUAUUAGCUGUGUUACCACCUCCACGCCACUAGAGGCAGUAUCAGGCCCAAAAAGAUGCGACUAAGAAGCCAAUAUAGAAGUUCACAGAAAG